rnacentral:rRNA from 1 species
GACGAACGCUGGCGGCGUGCUUAACACAUGCAAGUCGAACGCUGAAGCCUGGCUUUUGUUGGGUGGAUGAGUGGCGAACGGGUGAGUAACACGUGAGUAACCUGCCCCCUUCUUUGGGAUAACGCCCGGAAACGGGUGCUAAUACUGGAUAUUCACUGGUCUUCGCAUGGGGGUUGGUGGAAAGGGUUUUCUGGUGGGGGAUGGGCUCGCGGCCUAUCAGCUUGUUGGUGGGGUGAUGGCCUACCAAGGCUUUGACGGGUAGCCGGCCUGAGAGGGUGACUGGUCACAUUGGGACUGAGAUACGGCCCAGACUCCUACGGGAGGCAGCAGUGGGGAAUAUUGCACAAUGGGCGCAAGCCUGAUGCAGCGACGCCGCGUGAGGGAUGGAGGCCUUCGGGUUGUGAACCUCUUUCGCUCAUGGUCAAGCCGCAACUGUGGGUUGUGGAGAGGUAGUGGUAAAGAA